CCUACGGGCGGCAGCAGUGGGGAAUAUUGCACAAUGGGCGCAAGCCUGAUGCAGCCAUGCCGCGUGUGUGAAGAAGGCCUUCGGGUUGUGAAGCACUUUCAGCGGGGAGGAAGGCGGUGAGGUUAAUAACCUCAUCGAUUGACGUUACCCGCAGAAGAAGCACCGGCUAACUCCGUGCCAGCAGCCGCGGUAAUACGGAGGGUGCAAGCGUUAAUCGGAAUUACUGGGCGUAAAGCGCACGCAGGCGGUCUGUCAAGUCGGAUGUGAAAUCCCCGGGCUCAACCUGGGAACUGCAUUCGAAACUGGCAGGCUAGAGUCUUGUAGAGGGGGGUAGAAUUCCAGGUGUAGCGGUGAAAUGCGUAGAGAUCUGGAGGAAUACCGGUGGCGAAGGCGGCCCCCUGGACAAAGACUGACGCUCAGGUGCGAAAGCGUGGGGAGCAAACAGGAUUAGAUACCCUAGUAGUC
rnacentral:rRNA from 1 species